CCUCCUGCUUCAGCCUCCUGAAUACUGGAAUUACAGGCUCCUGAGCAUCGGCAGGACACUGGCUUGCUCAGGGAACCUCAGGCUCCUGAGACAGAAGUGAGGGUGGGCCGGGCUCAUUCCUGGCCAGGAAGUAAGUUGGAAAUUAGUUCACUGGUGCUGCACUACUGACUCCCCCACAUCCAGGGUCUGGGCAAGAGAGCUAUAUUCCUUCAGCUAUGCAGCAGCUACCUUCAUCUUCCUCCUAUACCAGCUUCAAGGCAGAAAACUGUGGAGUCCUGGAGAACCACCUUUGAAGUCCUUCGGUCCCUUCUACCUAGAGUAAAGGUGAAAGACUAUGCAGACAGAUACAUCUCUGAUAGAAAGAGACAUGAUUUCAAAGGAGGCUGCUAAAUUAAACUAAGAAUGGAUUGCUUAUUGACAUCUUA